rnacentral:lncRNA from 1 species
GGAGCUCUAGGCUUUUCCCGCAACUGUUCCAAUGGGGAACUCCCAUUUUCAGCCAUUUUUCUUCUUUCUUUUCUCCUCUCUUCCAUGGCUAGAUCUGAUGGGGGGAAAGAAGUAGGUAUGUACACUGGUUCGAAAGGUACCUCCCCUCCUAGUGAUCUGCGCACCAAUACCCCCUAGUUCUUUGAAUGCUUUUGCUUGAAAUUC